rnacentral:lncRNA from 1 species
GCUCGUGUGCUGAAUCUCCUCAAAUGUGUCAAAAUACAUCUUCUUAGAGAGAUCAGUCUCAUGCCUAAAGAGUAGAAAUCCUUCUAAGAAUUAUCCAUGCUAAACAUUUUUAGUACCUCCUUUAUGCAUAUUUUUUAUGAAAGAUUUAGCAUCCCCUUAGGUCUAUCUCAUAGACCUAGAUCUAUCUCAUAAAUCUUUAUAGGAUGUUUCUUGAGAUCCUUCAUAGAGAAUUU